AAGACAUUUCAUAUUCUCACAUGGCGACAGGAAAGACUAGUAAUUAUUAAGAACUUGGUAUUUCAAUUGCCCUACUCUUGGUACCAUCAAACUGUCUUUCCUGCCGUCCAGUCUUUAAAGAUGGGUAGUUUGCUAACUCCUCCUCCUUCCAUAUGCUUUACUCGAGCGAAAACGGCGACGAGGAGCCAGGCAGCCCGGCCGUCAGGCAGACUCAGAGAGCGACUCAUAGAGAGAGAGACAGAGAGAAGAGAGCAGAGACGUCCCUCACCUGGGAAGGUUCCUACAAUUUUGAUUCGUCCGACAUGCCUGUCUUAGGCUAAAGGCUUUUAUUGGGAUCCCUGGUCUACGUCACCCUCUUGUGAACAUCUGCCAAAAUCCAUCUGCAACGCCUUUGUGCAUGGUUCGACAAUGGUGAUUUAGCUCUCGGACUAGUAACUCUAACUUAUUCAUAAAUUCACCUUGCUAACACUUGGGAUGGUGUUUGGUUUCGGUGUAUCGGCCCUUUUAUUUUCUUCCUGAUACUAAUGUAAACCUCAGUUGCUCAAUUAUAAGACAGCGAGCGAAGCAGAACGAAGGAAAUUCCCUACGAUCUACGUGAAUUGCCUUGUUCUCCUACCAGUUGUUUAUAACUACGGUACUACGUUAUUUUAAAGGCUUAUUUAUGUAAUAAAUAUCAUAUUCAAUUACAUUUUUCCUUCCAACCUUUAUUUCAAACCACAGAUUUUUAUG